rnacentral:rRNA from 1 species
UACGGGGGGGGCAAGCGUUGUUCGGAAUUACUGGGCGUAAAGGGCUCGUAGGUGGCCAACUAAGUCAGACGUGAAAUCCCUCGGCUUAACCGGGGAACUGCGUCUGAUACUGGAUGGCUUGAGUUUGGGAGAGGGACGCGGAAUUCCAGGUGUAGCGGUGAAAUGCGUAGAUAUCUGGAGGAACACCGGUGGCGAAGGCGGCUGAUCGGUC